rnacentral:rRNA from 1 species
CCUACGGGUGGCAGCAGUGAGGAAUAUUGGUCAAUGGCCGAGAGGCUGAACCAGCCAAGUCGCGUGAGGGAAGACGGCCCUACGGGUUGUAAACCUCUUUUGUCGGGGAGCAAAGCGAGUCACGUGUGACUCAUUGAGAGUACCCGAAGAAAAAGCAUCGGCUAACUACGUGCCAGCAGCCGCGGUAAUACGUAGGGAGCGAGCGUUGUCCGGAAUUACUGGGUGUAAAGGGAGCGUAGGCGGGGAUGCAAGUUGGGUGUUAAAUCUACCGGCUCAACUGGUAGUCGCACUCAAAACUGCAGCUCUUGAGUGAAGUAGAGGCAGGCGGAAUUCCUAGUGUAGCGGUGAAAUGCGUAGAUAUUAGGAGGAACACCAGUGGCGAAGGCGGCCUGCUGGGCUUUUACUGACGCUGAGGCUCGAAAGUGUGGGGAGCAAACAGGAUUAGAUACCCGAGUAGUC